GCUGUCACCGGAAUUACUCCGUUUGGCUCUCCCAAGGCUCCUGUCAAGAAGGCCUAAGAAGUAGAAUGGCCUUCAUUUUCAGGAUAAGGAAGCUGAGGUUCAGGGUUUAAAAUGAUUUCUCUGAGGUCAGUGGCAAGUGGCAUAUGGAAAUAGAACGUGGGUCUCCUGCGUGUGUCUAUAGCUAGUGGCGUCCUCACUGCAUGGCCUGCAGAAAUCCCACCCAACACAGCCGGGCCGGUUUGGCCUUCCUACAUAUAAAGAUGGUGCGAUUGAAAUCAAACAGAGUGUACCAUGACGAAUAGAACCAUGAUAGGGUCUGGAAGACCCCAAGUAAACAGUUGGCACUUAGUUUAGACACUUUUUGCUGUCUAGCUGGCCUACUAGCUGAGUGCCUGACCUUCUGUAACUUACCAGGAAGAAGGGCUGUGCUUCCCAGGCAGGUCCCAGGGAAGUGCUUGCAAAGCAGAAGGAAAGCUCCAGACUGUUCUGCCCUAGCCUAUGAUAAAUAAUUUCUGAGCCCAUCUUGUCUGGGUUGUCUGCCUUUCUCGGGCUUGUUCACAAAUAAAUCUCUCUCCGACUGUGCGUUCUGGUGCAACUGAGAGCUCUGGGGCGAAUGGCUCUCCAGCUUUUCUGACAGCUCCUCUUCUCCCAGUCCUACCCCUGAACCCCCCACCUGUUAAAAGGCAUUGGCUCAUCUGUGAAUUUCCCUAACUUCCUCUUCAGAUUCUGAAACGUGAGAGUGAAAUUUCAGACUAACACCCAGCCACCCCAACAACUCCCUAGAGCUAGCCUUCUGUCCCAACUUCCCUGUGCCAUCCACAACUCAUACAUUAAACUCUGCAGAUUAGUGCAUCCUAAACAUAGAAAACAACGAAGCCAUUAGACCUCUUCCCAUUCUCUCGAAUAGCCUAAUGUGCCUCUGAAUAUAACACAACCUUGGAAAUGUAUUCUGCACCAGCAUCAUGCCAGGAUGGGGAAGAGGAAAGAAGUCAAGGCCUCCCUUUAAGAAAAGGUUUUUCUUAGGAAGCAGUGCACCCCUCUCCCCUAAGUUACUGAAGUCUGGUUCAUCCUGUUGGAAAUUUUAAAUUUGGUUAAAAUGCCUUGUGUUUGCUGGAAUAAAAUUCAUGUUGUUACUGAAUUGUACUAAAAACAUCACUAACCUUUGUUAGUGGGGAACUUUUGGUUGGUCCAACUAUGCCAUAAAACCUAUUUGCUAUUACAUCCUCUCCAGGAACCAGGGCUAUUCAGAGAUGAAACACUGUGUGUGUGUGUGUGUGUGUGUGUGU
rnacentral:lncRNA from 10 species